AGUGUAGGCGGGAUCGUAAGUUAGGAGUUUAAUACAUGGGCUUAACCCAUGAGCUGCUUUUAAUACUGCGGUUCUUGAGUAUGGGAGAGGGCGAUGGAAUUCCAGGUGUAGCGGUGGAAUGCGUAGAUAUCUGGAAGAACACCAGUAGCGAAGGCGGUCGCCUGGCCCAAUACUGACGCUGAUGCUCGAAAGCUAGGGGAGCAAACAGGAUUAGAUACCCUGGUAGUCCUAGCCGUAAACGAUGGACACUAGUUGCUGGAGGAGUCAAUCCUUUCGGUGACGAAGCUAACGCAUUAAGUGUCCCGCCUGGGGAGUACGUUCGCAGGAUGAA
rnacentral:rRNA from 1 species